CCCAUCCCGGCGGUGCGGGGAGCGGGCUCUGCUGCUCCGAGCUGUGCCCAGUUAAUUCCUGAAAUCACCCAUCCCGGCGGUGCGGGGAGCGGGCUCUGCUGCUCCGAGCUGUGCCCAGUUAAUUCCUGAAAUCACCCAUCCCGGCGGUGCGGGGAGCGGGCUCUGCUGCUCCGAGCUGUGCCCAGUUAAUUCCUGAAAUCACCCAUCCCGGCGGUGCGGGGAGCGGGCUCUGCUGCUCCGAGCUGUGCCCAGUUAAUUCCUGAAAUCACCCAUCCCGGCGGUGCGGGGAGCGGGCUCUGCCGCUCCGAGCUGUGCCCGGUUAAUGUACGCAGGGGAAACGACUCGUGUCUCCGAGUCGGUGAAUCCAAAACUGGCCAAACUAAGGAUAGUUAAGAUUAGUGGGGAGGGGUCAGGGCAAGGGACAGGGAUGCCCCACAAGAAUGCAGAUUCUGUUUGUACAUGACAGGUGUGAAAUACACUCAGUAAGUUAGGAAGAGCUUUCCACUGACCUUGUAUAUGGGUUUCUUGGGCAGAUGGGGUUGAUGGAAGUAGUUAAUAGCAUUAAGGUUGCUUUUUGCACUUAUAUAUCAUGGUGACUAUUCCACUUUCUUCCAGACUGAUUCUGCAGAGUCCUGAUCUGGUAUUUCCUAUUCAAAUUUCACCUCGAUUCAGCUUUUAACUUACAUGUUUAGAGCUAGACUUCUGGGGCAAAGUUGUCAGUAGGGACUUGCCUGACCUCUGCAAGAUAGCUGUGUGUCUGACCAGAGAAGUGGCUGCCUCUCCAAGCCCAUGGAGUCCACGGAGCCCUAAAGGAGGGAAGCAUCGAGGGAAGGAAAGGCAGAAAAAAAUUUAAAGCUGCCAGGGCAGAGUGGUGUUCAGCUGAGUCUGCAGUGUCAGCAGUGUGGUGUAUUAGAAUAAAUUUUGCUCAGGUAUGCUAUUCUCAAGGCAUCCUUAAUUACUGCAGUGGUUGGACUACUCCCAAAUUGGAUGAGGCUUGUGAGAAAAAUAGUGAGUGGUCUAGACCUGUAUUUGCAAUUUAUAUCUUUCUUGUUUGAGUUUCCAGUAAUAAACAAGGGGGGCUUUUCUGUCUUAGCAAGACUGUUAAAGAUAAUUCCACAUAUAAAGAGCCCUCUGGGGGCAAGGUUGGUGGUGAUAACAUUGAGCUUUUCUGCACUGAGAGUGAGGAAUUUCUGGUUAUGCAAGCAAGCAUUAUGCACUUGUAAUUCCUCUUUUUGGGCACAGUGUGCUAUAUGGGAAGUUUAAGAAUCUAUGUGACUUCUUUGCUUUUUUCCAAGCAUUACAUUAUGUACAUGGUCACAGGAUGGCUUCUCGUUGUUUUGGGAGAUUUUGUUUGGUUUGUGGUUUUUUUUUUUGUUUUGGUUUUUUAAAAAGCUGCAUUUGUAUUUUAGAUAUCUACUUGAAGCACUGAUAUUAGUGGCAGCUUCAUCUUGCUCUAAGUUGGUGCAAAAGUAAAAUAAAACAGAGGAAUGUUUGCUGCAGAAAUGGAUUGUUUAUCUUUUAUGCUUGUAUGGAAAUUAGUGUUUUUUAGGCAGUUGCAUUAUUAUACAACAGGGACUUUGAAGAAAAAUAUAGCCACCUAACUGGUGAAAGGAGUUUCAAAUCAACCUGUGUAACCACUUGCUUUAAAAACAAAAUCUGGAAUACCUUUUAAUUCUAGUAAAAACUUUCUUUUAUGCACAAGUGGCAAUUUGAGACUGAAAACUGUCUAAUUUUCUCUUAAUUCAGGAUGGCAAGAAAAUAAUUGGGAUAAAUGCUAAAACAGCAAUGAGAUGAUAAUGUUCCAGUUUCUUAAGGUACCUAUUGCUGUGUAAUUGAACAAAGGUUCAAAUCUUUAAAAAAACCUUUUUUUUCAUCUUCAAUGGAAGUUACUAGAUAUUGAGCAGUCUUUUUGAGUUGUUGAAAUAAAUGUGAAAAUACCUGAACCUAAAAUUAUUUUAAGGUUAGUCUGUGCAGCUUAGGAUAAUAUAUAAUGAUGGUUUUGGGGUUUUUUUUAAAGUCUUGUUAUCUCUGGCUUUCUUAAAGGUGCCAGAUUGACCUUUUAGAGUGUGCCAUAGAUCUCAGCUUUCCUUACAGUAGUAUGUGCUGCAAGACUCUGCAUCCUCUACCGAGACAUCUGCAGCUCAGAUUAAUUAUGUAUGCUUGGUAUCCAUUGCCUUCACCUUCUACCCAUCUUUUUAUGCUUCCCUCAUGCUUGGAGCUUCAUUACCAACUGUGUCUUCUGGGAAUAGGGGAAAGGAAAACACCUGGAAGGUUUACUAAGUGCCAGUUGGUAAACCAAAGGGGAGAUGUACCUGAAAGAAUAGAGAAAAUAAUACAGGAGAGGUGGGAAUGGAGAAAUGGGUGGGCUCAGAAGCCAGCACAAAGCACAGGAACACAAAAGAUGCUACUAAAAUCCUUUCCAGUAAGGAUCUCAGUUUGAGUAGCCUUGUAAAGUCACAGUACCAGUAGUUGCUGUGCACAGUAGAUUUUAGCUACCAGAAUUCUUUUAUGAUUUGGGGGAUUUUGUGUGCUUGUGCUUUGUUUUAUUUAUGAGCUUUCCUUUUGGCUUAUGCUGGCCACUGAAAAGUCUGCUUUAUAGAAGGGAAGGAUAUUUAUAAAUGCUAACUUUAUUUCAGGAUAUUCAUUCUGCUGUUUCUGUGAUUAGUGGAGAAAAGGCCAUGACCCUGGGAGGAUGUCUAUCCUCUAGACAUCUAACUUUGUCUAGGCUGAAGUGAGCUUUAGAAACACCACUUGAUAUCCAAUAUGUGAAUUACUUUUACUAAGCUUGCGAGUAGACCUUUCUUUAACUGUGCACUUCCCUUGUAAGGUGUCUUUGGUUCUCACACAGUCACGCGUGAGAAAUCCAUGACUCUAAUAAUACUUUUGAAUAAAAUAAUUGGAUAAUGUUAUAUUUGUGUCAAUACCUUUCUCUUCCUAGCACAAGUGAUUCAGUCACUUCUUGAGUGACCCUGAAAUAACAGGUUUAAUGUUAAUUGUACUUGCUGUUGUGUGUCUCUUAAUAUGAUAACUCAAUAACUGAUUUUUUUUUUUCUCUUUUCUGCUGUCAUUUCUGCCUGCCUGCUUAUCUCCAUUGGAAUGUGGUUCUUCAAUUGUUCUGAUAAACUUCUGACACAGGUAAAUACCAGUCUGUUUGUAUCUGUAUUUACUGAGUGUGCCCUUUGCUUGGCAGUAUGCAAUGGAUCUUGAAUCAGACAUGCCACACAGCUGUAGACUGGGAAAGGGAAAUGCUACUGCCCUGAUGUACAUCAUUUAUUUCCCUAUCUGCUGUUUCUUAUUCCUCCCCCACCUUUAACAGCAGUAAAAUAGCCAGCUAGAAAAUAAGAGUAUUUCAUAUUUGCUUUUUAGUGGUGUUUCCUGGGAAAACUUAUGCUCGUAAUGGAGUUGGCGUGUGUGUAAGGAGGGGGAAAGCAGCCUAGAAAGAAGAAUGUUUAUACAGUCUCACUCUUUCCACUCUGCCAGUCAUUCAUUUCUGCCUUCACUUUUAUAUUGUUCACGUGGAGUAGCAGGUGGUAAUUUUUGAUUUUCCUUUGGCUCCAAUGAAAAGGAGAAGGCAAAAACAUGUGGGCAGGAUGAAGUAGGCGAAGCUUUCAUGGCAGUUAGUUGGAGCCCGUUGUGAAAUACAAUAGAGGAAUAUGUGUAAUGGAGUGAGAGUAAAGGAAUGUUAUUCAACUUGUCUUGUUAGCUGCAUUUGUGCCUUUUAUUAAAACACGUAAAGUUCAGCCUUUGUCAGUGGAAGGCCUGUUGCCAUGAAUGCUGAGCAGGUUACUUACAUCUUUGGACUUAGCUCAGUAUGUAUGUAGUGAUAAGCAUCACUGCAAAGGUUUAAUGGGAUAUUGAACUGUUCACCAAAGGGGAAAGUAAUAAACUUCGAUUGGUUUGGGUUUUUUUUUCUCCCCCAGCAGCCUUGGAAACAAAAUUCUUGGUUCUUUUAACUUGAUAAAUUGAUAUUCAGAAGCCAGAAGUACAGAGAGUUUUUGGAAUACGUUAGAAUCCAUCAUCCUUGCCACUUUUGGUGCAUUUUUCAGUAAACAAUAUGAGGCAUUGGCCAUUAUCAACUACAGCUGAAAUGCACAUAGGUCAAUAAACCGGUGUUGCAUCUAUCCAUCUGUCCUUCCCACUCUAAAUGGCUGUGCUCUGGAGUGAAAAUACCAGCAUGUUGUUCAGAGCUCACACGGGAAUGCUGCUCUCCUAAAAAAUCCUCACGCAUGUGGUGGCCUGGUCAGUUGUGACUGUGGAAAGAUGGAUGUAGGCUGGGUUUUGCUUUGAAUGGUGUUUAACCAACCUGCACUGAAGGGCAGCUGCUGUGCUGGCUAUACCA